GAUGAACGCUGACAGAAUGCUUAACACAUGCAAGUCUACUUGAUUCUACUUCGGUAGUUGAUGGUGGCGGACGGGUGAGUAACGCGUAAAGAAUCUGCCCUUUAGUUUGGGAUAACCUUUGGAAACGAAGGCUAAUACCGGAUAUUAUGGAGACGUCGCAUGGCGACUCCAUGAAAGCUAUAUGCGCUAGAGGAGGACUUUGCGUCCCAUUAGUUAGUUGGUGAGGUAAUGGCUCACCAAGACCGCGAUGGGUAGCCGGCCUGAGAGGGUGAGCGGCCACAAGGGAACUAAGACACGGUCCUUACUCCUACGGGAGGCAGCAGUGGGGAAUAUUGGACAAUGGGCCACAAGACUGAUCCAGCAAUUCUGUGUGCACGUUGAAGGUCUUCGGAUUGUAAAGUGCUUUCAGUAGGGAAGAAAAAAAUGACGGUACCUACAGAAGAAGCGACGGCUAAAUAUGUGCCAGCCGCCGCAGUAA
rnacentral:rRNA from 1 species